rnacentral:rRNA from 1 species
GGGUUGUGAGGUUAAGCGACUAAGCGUACACGGUGGAUGCCCUGGCAGUCAGAGGCGAUGAAGGGCGUGCUAAUCUGCGAUAAGCGCCGGUAAGGUGAUAUGAACCGUUAUAACCGGCGAUACCCGAAUGGGGAAACCCAGUGUGAUUCGUCACACUAUCAUUAACUGAAUCCAUAGGUUAAUGAGGCGAACCGGGGGAACUGAAACAUCUAAGUACCCCGAGGAAAAGAAAUCAACCGAGAUUCCCCCAGUAGCGGCGAGCGAACGGGGAGGAGCCCAGAGCCUGAAUCAGCAUGUGUGUUAGUGGAAGCGUCUGGAAAGGCGCGCGAUACAGGGUGACAGCCCCGUACACAAAAGCGCAUGUGCUGUGAGCUCGAUGAGUAGGGCGGGACACGUGGUAUCCUGUCUGAAUAUGGGGGGACCAUCCUCCAAGGCUAAAUACUCCUGACUGACCGAUAGUGAACCAGUACCGUGAGGGAAAGGCGAAAAGAACCCCGGCGAGGGGAGUGAAAAAGAACCUGAAACCGUGUACGUACAAGCAGUGGGAGCACNNNNNNNNNNNNNNNNNNNNNNNNNNNNNNNNNNNNNNNNNNNNNNNNNNNNNNNNNNUUAAGUUGCAGGGUAUAGACCCGAAACCCGGUGAUCUAGCCAUGGGCAGGUUGAAGGUUGGGUAACACUAACUGGAGGACCGAACCGACUAAUGUUGAAAAAUUAGCGGAUGACCUGUGGCUGGGGGUGAAAGGCCAAUCAAACCGGGAGAUAGCUGGUUCUCCCCGAAAGCUAUUUAGGUAGCGCCUCGUGAAUUCAUCUCCGGGGGUAGAGCACUGUUUCGGCUAGGGGGCCAUCCCGGCUUACCAACCCGAUGCAAACUGCGAAUACCGGAGAAUGUUAUCACGGGAGACACACGGCGGGUGCUAACGUCCGUCGUGAAGAGGGAAACAACCCAGACCGCCAGCUAAGGUCCCAAAGUCAUGGUUAAGUGGGAAACGAUGUGGGAAGGCCCAGACAGCCAGGAUGUUGGCUUAGAAGCAGCCAUCAUUUAAAGAAAGCGUAAUAGCUCACUGGUCGAGUCGGCCUGCGCGGAAGAUGUAACGGGGCUAAACCAUGCACCGAAGCUGCGGCAGCGACGCUUAUGCGUUGUUGGGUAGGGGAGCGUUCUGUAAGCCUGCGAAGGUGGCCUGUGAGGGUUGCUGGAGGUAUCAGAAGUGCGAAUGCUGACAUAAGUAACGAUAAAGCGGGUGAAAAGCCCGCUCGCCGGAAGACCAAGGGUUCCUGUCCAACGUUAAUCGGGGCAGGGUGAGUCGACCCCUAAGGCGAGGCCGAAAGGCGUAGUCGAUGGGAAACGGGUUAAUAUUCCCGUACUUGGUGUUACUGCGAAGGGGGGACGGAGAAGGCUAUGUUGGCCGGGCGACGGUUGUCCCGGUUUAAGCGUGUAGGUGUGUGUUCCAGGUAAAUCCGGUUCACUUUAACACUGAGGCGUGACGACGAGGCACUACGGUGCUGAAGCAACAAAUGCCCUGCUUCCAGGAAAAGCCUCUAAGCAUCAGGUAACAUCAAAUCGUACCCCAAACCGACACAGGUGGUCAGGUAGAGAAUACCAAGGCGCUUGAGAGAACUCGGGUGAAGGAACUAGGCAAAAUGGUGCCGUAACUUCGGGAGAAGGCACGCUGACACGUAGGUGAAGUGAUUUACUCAUGGAGCUGAAGUCAGUCGAAGAUACCAGCUGGCUGCAACUGUUUAUUAAAAACACAGCACUGUGCAAACACGAAAGUGGACGUAUACGGUGUGACGCCUGCCCGGUGCCGGAAGGUUAAUUGAUGGGGUCAGCGCAAGCGAAGCUCCUGAUCGAAGCCCCGGUAAACGGCGGCCGUAACUAUAACGGUCCUAAGGUAGCGAAAUUCCUUGUCGGGUAAGUUCCGACCUGCACGAAUGGCGUAAUGAUGGCCAGGCUGUCUCCACCCGAGACUCAGUGAAAUUGAACUCGCUGUGAAGAUGCAGUGUACCCGCGGCAAGACGGAAAGACCCCGUGAACCUUUACUAUAGCUUGACACUGAACAUUGAGCCUUGAUGUGUAGGAUAGGUGGGAGGCUUUGAAGUGUGGACGCCAGUCUGCAUGGAGCCGACCUUGAAAUACCACCCUUUAAUGUUUGAUGUUCUAACGUGGACCCGUUACCCGGGUUGCGGACAGUGUCUGGUGGGUAGUUUGACUGGGGCGGUCUCCUCCUAAAGAGUAACGGAGGAGCACGAAGGUUGGCUAAUCCUGGUCGGACAUCAGGAGGUUAGUGCAAUGGCAUAAGCCAGCUUGACUGCGAGCGUGACGGCGCGAGCAGGUGCGAAAGCAGGUCAUAGUGAUCCGGUGGUUCUGAAUGGAAGGGCCAUCGCUCAACGGAUAAAAGGUACUCCGGGGAUAACAGGCUGAUACCGCCCAAGAGUUCAUAUCGACGGCGGUGUUUGGCACCUCGAUGUCGGCUCAUCACAUCCUGGGGCUGAAGUAGGUCCCAAGGGUAUGGCUGUUCGCCAUUUAAAGUGGUACGCGAGCUGGGUUUAGAACGUCGUGAGACAGUUCGGUCCCUAUCUGCCGUGGGCGCUGGAGAACUGAGGGGGGCUGCUCCUAGUACGAGAGGACCGGAGUGGACGCAUCACUGGUGUUCGGGUUGUCAUGCCAAUGGCACUGCCCGGUAGCUAAAUGCGGAAGAGAUAAGUGCUGAAAGCAUCUAAGCACGAAACUUGCCCCGAGAUGAGUUCUCCCUGAGACUUAAAGUCUCCUGAAGGAACGUUGAAGACGACGACGUUGAUAGGCCGGGUGUGUAAGCGCAGCGAUGCGUUGAGCUAACCGGUACUAAUGAACCGUGAGGCUUAACCUUACAACGCCGAAG